rnacentral:rRNA from 1 species
GUCUUUUUGUGUACCAUAAAAAGUCGUGCCUUCCCAGUGGGUUUUAACCUAAACGGAUGCGGUAAAUCGUGCUAAGGUAGCUAAAUUAUGGCCCAUUAAUUGUGGGUCUUGCGAACGGCUUGACGAGUUCCCUACUGUCUCAAAGUUGUUUUGGUGAACUUGAAUUGGAUGUGUAAAUGCUUCCAUGAGUGAGAAAGACGAGAAGACCCCGUGAAGUUAGAAAUUUUUUAUCUAGUAUGAAUUUUCAGUUUUUUUUGAGUUUGUAGAUGUAAUUUGAGAUCUUGAGAGUUGAAAAAUAUGGUUCUAUUGUUUUGGCUGGGGCAGCAAGAAGGCAAAACUAGACCUUCUUUAUUAAAAAACGGGUGCGUUACGACCCAUAGUUUUGAAAGGAAUGAUUAUCAGAAGAAGUUACUCCGGGGAUAACAGCGUUAUCCGUCCUGAUAGUCCUUAUAGAUGGGCGGGUUUGCGACCUCGAUGUUGGCUCUGGUUAUCCUGAGGCUUGCAGGAGGUCUCGAGGGUUGGUUUGUUCGCCCAUUAAAAUCCG